AUGUUACAAUUUAUUUGGAAUUAUUAUUACAAGGUUAAAAAAGAAAUUACAAGUUUGUACAUGAAAAUCAAACUAUUAUUUCUUGCUCCAAUAGCAGCCCCAAUGCUGCCUAUUUUCCAGUAUUGUUUUAAUACAAUAACAGUCCAAUUCUUGGGUAUUUUGCUAUCCAAAACAACAGUAAAAAAAACCCCAAUGUUUUUCAUUUUUUUACCACCUUUUUUUCAUCAUAAACCAGUCAAUUUUUGUGGUAUUUUGCUGUAA